AUUGAACGCUGGCGGCAGGCCUAACACAUGCAAGUCGAACGGUAACAGGAAGAAGCUUGCUUCUUUGCUGACGAGUGGCGGACGGGUGAGUAAUGUCUGGGAAACUGCCCGAUGGAGGGGGAUAACUACUGGAAACGGUAGCUAAUACCGCAUAACGUCGCAAGACCAAAGAGGGGGACCUUCGGGCCUCUUGCCAUCGGAUGUGCCCAGAUGGGAUUAGCUUGUUGGUGAGGUAACGGCUCACCAAGGCGACGAUCCCUAGCUGGUCUGAGAGGAUGACCAGCCACACUGGAACUGAGACACGGUCCAGACUCCUACGGGAGGCAGCAGUGGGGAAUAUUGCACAAUGGGCGCAAGCCUGAUGCAGCCAUGCCGCGUGUAUGAAGAAGGCCUUCGGGUUGUAAAGUACUUUCAGCGGGGAGGAAGGGAGUAAAGUUAAUACCUUUGCUCAUUGACGUUACCCACAGGAGAAGCACCGGCUAACUCCGUGCCAGCAGCCGCAGUAAAAC
rnacentral:rRNA from 1 species